GUAAGUGUAAAGAAGCCUAGGAUGCUACAAUUGCCCAAGACCCAGGUACCAGGGCACACUUCCUUCAUUCUUGACCUGCUUCUGCUUGGUUCCAGCCUGCUAGUCCCAACUCCAAAGGAUAUCCUCCUUCACUUUCAACUCUGCUUUUGUCUUUUUAAUUUCUAAAUUGCUAUUGUUUGUUUCAGGGGGAUCCACAAUGCCAAAGACUUUGGCUGCUAUUCACUCUGAUGUUAUUUGGCUGAUCUGGCAGGACAGCCCACCCAGAACCAAAUUAAAUUGGGAGAUCAGCUCAGCUGGGAAGUUGAUAGGGAGGAAACUUACUCAGACUCAGCUUAAACUGGGAGGUCAGCUGGGUCAUUUCCUAGAGUGUCAAUAAUUCAGAGCACUAGAAUACCCUCGGAACCUAAACUAUCCCUGGAAAUAUGAAAAGAUGGAGAAAAAUGGUAUUUCUAGAACUCUUCUCAGGGAUGGUGAACACUGAUUAAGAAGAGAGAGCACAUAUCAUGCAGAGACCAUGGGCCCUGGACCAGAAACAUUGAGGAUAGAGAGAGGCAAAGCCAGCAUCCCGGAGCUGGCUCCUUUCCCCAGGGUUUUGGAGCGGUGCAGUCUUCCCUAGAAAUUAAUUGAUAAAGACUGAGUUCCUCACUUGAUAUUUUGAAAGAGAGCUGCUGCUAGCUUAUAUACCGUGAAUUGCCAAAUGUCACUGCCUCUGAGUGGACAGAUUAUAUAAAAGACACUUCCUCCUGGUAUGGCUAGCAGAGGAUGCACUGGAUUUCAGCUCCUAGUCCUCCCUUGACUCCACCAAGCUGGGUAUUUCUUUGCAGUAUACAAUCUGCACAACUGUACGUGGUUUGACAACAUGCAUAAGCAUAAGGCUAACAACUUGUGAAACAAACUCUGAAGCCAGGAGUGAAUAUAUUAAUGCAGAUGGCAGAGAAGGUGAGCAGCGUGGUCAGACAGAAGCAUCACAGAGACUGCAAGAAGAAUGCUUUAGACCAGCUCAUAGUAGAGACUUUACCUCUUGGCUGUACUGAUUAAGGGUUAUCACCAGUUUCUUAGGACUUGGAAACUUGGAAACACAUUGCUUGUCCUUUCCAGUUUGUUACAGAGUGUGUGUGUGUGGUCCUCAUUAUAAGGUGUAGCUUCAGUCAUUCUCAUUCAAUCCUGAAGCUGUGGAUUCCUGUGUGGCUGUUCUGUUGAAGAUUCUGGAGCCCAGAACAUUCAAAACCAGCUUUCCUUAGAGUGAAAGGAUGUUUGCACAAACAUUGAAGCAUGGAAGGGAGUUUGGGGGUAAGGGAGGGGUGGGGAAUUCCAGGAAGAGGAAAUCGGUUAGACAAGGGUGUGGAGGCACACCAAAUUGUGGAUUCCUUUAGGAAGUGGUUUUUUUUUUCUGUGAGGAAGAUUGUCCCAGAGCGAACAUCUGUGCUGAUCUUCCUCUAUUUUGUAUAUGGGAUGCUGCCACAGCAUGGCUUGAUGAGCGGUGUGCAGGUCCGAGCCUGGGAUCCAAACCCACAAACCCUGAGCUGCCGAAACAGAGUGUGCAAAGUUAACCACCACACCACUGGGCCGGCCCCAGAGAGAAUUUUUCCACUUCAUUAAAUCUGAGUGUCCCUUCAGAUGCCGAGGUGAUUAUAGCACAGUCUCUGUUCUGGAGAAGCUAGAACCAUUUCAUAUCUACCCUAUUUGAUCCUCAACAAAUUCCGUAAGUUAGGUAGGAAAGAUCUCAUCAACUGAAAAUCACUGAGGAGGAAAUUGGAGCCUAAAAAAAGUUCACAAGACUUACGGUUACACAACUAAUUCUAGGUAAGCUGGGGCUGAAACCCAGCCUCUUGGUGACCAACCUGGGCCUGUCCACUAGAUCAGAAGAGGGGGACAGCUUUUCCCUCCCUCCCCAGGCGAGAGCAGCAAACUUUUUCUAAAAUCCAUCAUUGUGAUUAUGAUUACGAUUGGUUAGUGAGAGGUGGAGGAAGAGUACAAUCAGGUCCACUC
ensembl:lncRNA